AUGGGGAUCAUCAACUGGGUGCAGAAUCGCCUCAACACCAAGCAGGAGAAGAAACGAUCCGCCGCCGCCGCCGCCGCGGGCGCGAGCUCGGUUCGCAAUGCCCCGGUCCGGGAGAAGAGCUGCCGCGGCCAGGCCGACGACGAGCUCCCCGGAGACUGGAGCAUGCUCUCCAUCGGGACUCUCGGCAACGAGCCCACGCCGGCUCCGGCGCCGGCGCCAGAUCAGGCGGUGCCGGACUUCACCAUCGAGGAGGUGAAGAAGCUGCAGGAUGCGCUGAACAAGCUACUCCGGCGCGCCAAGUCCAAGUCCAGCUCCCGCGGCUCCACCGCCGGCGCCGGCGACGAGGAGCAGAACCUGCCGCUCGACAGGUUCCUCAACUGCCCCUCCAGCCUCGAGGUCGACCGGCGGCUCUCGCUCAGGCUGCAGGGCGCCGACGGCGGGCAGAACGGGGAGUUCUCGCCGGACACGCAGAUCAUACUCAGCAAGGCCAGGGAGCUCCUCGUCAGCACCAACGGCAACGGCGGGGGCGUCAAGCAGAAGUCCUUCAAGUUCCUCCUCAAGAACAUGUUCGCCUGCCGGGGCGGCUUCCCGCCGCAGCCCAGCCUCAAGGAUCCAGUGGAAACAAAACUGGAGAAGUUGUUUAAGACGAUGCUUCAAAAGAAGAUGAGCGUCCCUCGCCCGAGCAACGCGGCAUCGUCAUCGAGGAAGUAUUACCUAGAGGACAAACCAAUGGGAAGGAUCCAAAUGGAUGGUCGCCACGACGAGGAGGAGGAAGAGGAUUACAAUGAUGAAGAUAUCUUCAAGUGGGACAAAACAGAUUCAGAUUUCAUUGUUCUAGAGGUGUAA
rnacentral:rRNA from 1 species